AGCGAACGCUGGCGGCAUGCCUAACACAUGCAAGUCGCACGGGGGGGCUUCGGCCUCCCAGUGGCGGACGGGUGAGGAACGCGUAGGGACCUGUCGAGGGGUGGGGGAUAACCGCGGGAAACUGCGGCUAAUACCGCAUGACGCCGCGGCGUGACAGCCGGGGCCAAAGGCGAAAGCCGCCCGCCGAGGGGCCUGCGUCCGAUUAGCUGGUUGGCGGGGUAGCGGCCCACCAAGGCGUCGAUCGGUAGCUGGUCUGAGAGGGUGAUCAGCCACACCGGGACUGAGACACGGCCCGGACUCCGACGGGAGGCAGCAGUGGGGAAUAUUGGACAAUGGGCGCAAGCCUGAUCCAGCAAUGCCGCGUGGGUGAAGAAGGUCUUCGGAUUGUAAAGCCCUUUCGGCGGGGACGAUGGUGACGGUACCCGCAGAAGAAGCCCCGGCUAACUUCGU
rnacentral:rRNA from 1 species